rnacentral:rRNA from 1 species
AUGGGGGGGGGGCUUCCUCUUGCUCUCAAGACAAUGGGUGGAUUGCUAAGUUCAUAUCAACAAGUACAAGAAUGGAAGGCCGUCAAAGAAAGAAAUUUUAGGGAUAAUAAUGUUAGAGGGAAAGAUGAGAUCAUGUCCAUCCUAAAGUUGAGCUACAGACACCUAUCAUCUCAAAUGAAGCAAUGUUUUGCAUUCUUAGCAGUUUUCCCCAAGGACUAUGUGAUGGACAAGGAUAUGUUGAUUCAACUAUGGAUGGCAAAUGGUUUCAUUCAAGAGAAGAGACCAGUGGAUUUAACAACAAGAGGAGAAUUCAUUUUCGACGAGUUAGUUUGGAGGUCCUUCCUCCAAGAUAAGCAACGGUGCAUAGACAAUUAUGGUACAGAAAAUUAUAUGGCUGUUAACUGUAAGAUGCAUGAUUUAAUGCAUGAUAUAGCAAAAGCUAUCACAGAUGAAUGUGCAAGUAUAGAAGAACUGAUUCCGCAAAAAACAUUGUUAAAAGAUGUUUGUCACAUGCAAGUGACAGGGGCUGAAAUGGAACUAAUCAGUGGGUUAUGCAAUGGCAGAACAUACAUCCGCACUUUGUUAGCUCCUUCAAAAUACUACACGGUUUUAAGAGAGUUGCUACAGGUAUCGUCAUCACUAAGAGUGUUGCAUUGCCUCCCUCCUUCAAUUGCUAUUUGGAAGGCCAUAAAUGCAAAAAAAAUGGUAUCUUGA